rnacentral:sRNA from 1 species
UCGUUUGAUGCAGGUCAGUUAUUUCCCUUCUUUACGCUCCGUCGCGGGCGACAUUGAUCCUCGUCAAUUUCUUCUUUCGUCUUCUUGGUUAACUUAGCCCUAUCGCAACAGGGCAAGUGCAGGAGGCCGGUCAUGUUUUUCGAUAAUGUGGUGUUUGCCGGAGUGCUAACGGUUGGCCUCAUGGUGAUGUUCUUUGUAGGGUUUGGAAUUUUUAUCUGGAAAGACGCUAAUAAGCGUAAGAGGCCUUAGGUCUUUUCGGAUACAUGAGCACGCAAGGCAUUUUGGGCGACUUCGGUCGCCUUUU